GAUGAAGAACGUAGUGAAAUGCGAUAAGUAAUGUGAAUUGCAGAAUUCAGUGAAUCAUCGAAUCUUUGAACGCACAUUGCGCCCGUUAGCAUUCUAGCGGGCAUGCCUGUCCGAGCGUCAUUUCAACCCUCAGGGUCCCCGUUCCGGCGGGGAACCUGGUGUUGGGGAUCGGCCCGCCCCGUGCGGCGCCGUCCCCCAAAUUCAGUGGCGGUCUCGCUGCAGCCUCCCCUGCGUAGUAGUUACAACCUCGCAUCGGAGCUUAGCGCGGCCACGCCGUAAAACCCCCGACUUUCUGAACGUUGACCUCGGAUCAGGUAGGAAUACCCGCUGAACUUAAGCAUAUCAAUAAGCGGAGGA
rnacentral:misc_RNA from 1 species